AGAGUUUGAUCCUGGCUCAGGACGAACGCUGGCGGCGUGCUUAACACAUGCAAGUCGAACGGAUUUAGUGUAGCAAUAUGCUAAGUUAGUGGCGAACGGGUGAGUAACACGUGACUAAUCUGCCCCGGACUGGGGAAUAACGGAGGGAAACUUCCGCUAAUACCGCAUGUAGAGACGAGUUCGCAUGGAUUUGUCUUGAAAGAUUUAUCGGUCCGGGAUGAGGUCGCGCCCCAUUAGCUUGUUGGCGAGGUAACGGCUCACCAAGGCGACGAUGGGUAGCUGGUCUGAGAGGAUGAUCAGCCACACUGGGACUGAGAUACGGCCCAGACUCCUAUGGGAGGCAGCAGUGAGGAAUAUUGCGCAAUGGGCGAAAGCCUGACGCAGCAACGCCGCGUGAAGGAUGAAGGUGCUUUGCAUUGUAAACUUCUGUAGGGAGGGACGAAUCGCCGGCUCUGCCGGUAUUGACGGUACCUCCAAAGUAAGCACCGGCUAACUCCGUGCCAGCAGCCGCGGUAAUACGGAGGGUGCAAGCGUUGUCCGGAUUUACUGGGUGUAAAGGGCGUGUAGGCGGGAGAAUGUGUCGGAAGUGAAAUCGCGCGGCUUAACCGUGUCAAUUGCUUCCGAAACUGUUCUUCUUGAAUGCGAGAGAGGCAGAUGGAAUUCCAGGUGUAGCGGUGGAAUGCGUAGAUAUCUGGAAGAACACCAGUGGCGAAGGCGGUCUGCUGGCUCGUGAUUGACGCUGAGGCGCG
rnacentral:rRNA from 1 species